rnacentral:rRNA from 1 species
GACGAACGCUGGCGGCGUGCCCAAUACAUGCAAGUCGAACGCAGUGGGGACGGGUGAGUAACACGUGGGUAACCUCCCGUCAGAGGGGAUAACACUUGGAAACAGGUGCUAAACCGAUAUUGAUUGAUCAACCAGCGGUGCAUUAGCGAGUUGGGGAGGUAACGGCUCACCAAGGCCACGAGGCAUAGCCGACCUGGGAGGGGGAUAGGCCACACUGGGACUGAGACACGGCCCAGACCCCUACGGGAGGCAGGAGUAGGGAAUCUUCGGCAAGGGACGAAAGUCUGACCGAGCAACGCCGCGUGAGUGAAGAAGGUUUGCGGAGCGUAAAACUCUGUUGUUAGAGAAGGGUAUCUAACCAGAAAGCCACGGCUAACUACGUGCCAGCAGCCGCGGUAAUUC